CUUGAGCCGUGCUCCAAAGCCCGGGUUGCAAAGCGGGGAAAAAUUGCGGGUCCCCACCCCUCCUUGGAGUAGUUUGGAGGCUCUCUGGGCUGCUUUCUCGGCGAACACUGCUCUCUUGUUCUUAGAAUCACUUUGCCAUCUUGUGGCUCUCGGGAAGGAGGGGCCUCACCCUGCGCUCACCCCCAUUAAUCACCCGGACAGCCCUCGCUUGGCGAGGCCUCUCACCCUUUUCAUCUCCCGGUUUGUAUGCAGCCGCCCGCCCGCUCCAGCCCCGCACAAUGCCGCCUCCUCCCCGCAGCAUCUCCUCCCCACGCCUGCAUCCCGCUCCCGAGCACCCAGGAGCAUCCGCAUCCUGCAUCCCCCAUCCCACAACUCCCAUCCCACAUCCCUCAUCCCACAUCCUGCAUCUCUCAUCCCUCGUCCCACAUCCCUCAUCCCACAUCCACAUCUCUCAUCCCUCAUCCCGUAUCCCACGUCCCUCAUCCCGUAUCCGUAUCCUGCACCUGCAUCCUGCAUCCUGCACAGGGACAAGGACACCGCUUCCAAAUCUAUUUUAUUCCCCCCCCCUCCUCAUGGCCUCCGAGAUGAUUUGCCCGGCGUUGCAGUGACCUGGUUAUUAUUCCAUCGGGGGAGGACUUCACCCUCUUGGGUGCCAAACUUCGGGGUGCAAGCGGGUGGCUGGCACCACGCUCAGAAACAGAGAUGGCCCAGUCCCCUUCCAGGAACCUGGUGCAAGCAAGAGCAACCACUGCAAGGGUGAAAAAUGAGGAGAGAAAGUGCAAAUCCCGUCCAAUUGCAGAUUCGGUGCAUUUUUCUCUCCUUUAGGAGAUGAGCAUUCAUCUCCCGUGCGUGUCGGAGUACGGAUGAGGGCUAAAUGCUACCAGACGUGUGUGCACAUGCCCUGGCGUGGUGCAGAGAUUGAAUUAAGAUUGGGGGACUUUAUCAGCGGAUUGCGCUGGGUGAAGGGUUAGGCGCGGAUUUCAUUUGUUGGACGAUGGAAGGACGGAGGCCUCCACCCCACCGAGCCGAAAAGGGAAAACCGACCCCAAAACCAACACCACCAACACCACCAAAACCCGCCUAUUACCGUGUAAUCAAAUCGCCUUUGAGACGCUUUUCGGAAUAAAGCAAGAUGGAU